GGUUGACCUCCCUCGGGUCUGCGUGUCAAGAUAAUACAGUUCACCAUGCACCAGCUAUUAGGCAAUUCUGAACAAAUCAGCCCGUUUCCUGAUAGGACUUUCAUAAGUUGUCACCAAGUCAGCUCUGACACCACAGCAUAGAAGCCAUCUGAGUCAGCAGCAAAGGCAACAGCAGGGGGCAUUGAGGGAAUUUCCCCCAAACAUUCCUGACUCCCAGCAAGGACUCACAGGGGACUAGAGAACUGAACGCUGUACUCCAGAUAAGCUGACCAGGGCAGAGGACAGAAAGCCUGUCACCUUGACUCCUGGAAGCCGUGGAGAGACUAUAAGCUUCUUCAGGAAAUGGACUCAGGUUUUUCCCUCCCUGUCUGCUCUCCAGUGCCCAGCAGGGAAUUGGAAACAUCCGGUUCUUUUAAAACACCAACCAGGUGUCACCUUCUACAACGAGACCUUUCUCCUCUUCAGUACCCAACAGUGAAUUGGAAAUAUCCAGCAAAUAUAAGCUGAAACUAAGAUGGAUUCUAUAGCGGUGAAACCAAUAUAGAAGAGUAAAGGCAAGGACUUGCCUGAGCUCUCCGCAAUUCCCCUCCAAACAACUUGAAAAUAAUGCCUCAAAAUGAGCUCUGGAGUGGCAGAACCAACAGCAGAAUGGGGUCAAACAAUUUUCCAGCACAAGACAACUUGGAAGAUUUGCAGGAAAGGUCUAUCUCCCCGGGGUAAGAGCAGAUCACAGU